CUCCCGCCGGCGACCGGCACACGGGUGAGUAACACGUAUGAAACCUGCCCGUAGCAGGGGGAUAAGCGGAAGAAAUUCCGUCUAAUACCGCGUAACAACCCGAGGAGGCAUCUCCUCGGGUUUAAAGGAAGCGAUUCCGGCUACGGAUGGUCAUGCGUCGCAUUAGCUAGUUGGCGGGGUAACGGCCCACCAAGGCGACGAUGCGUAGGGGUUCUGAGAGGAAGGUCCCCCACACUGGUACUGAGACACGGACCAGACUCCUACGGAAGGCAGCAG
rnacentral:rRNA from 1 species